rnacentral:lncRNA from 1 species
UAUAUAAAUAUAUAUAUAGAGUCUGGCUAUUAUACUAUCGAUAGUAGCAAGUCCUUGAUACUAUUGAGUUUUCUACCGUUAGAUCUACCCUUUGAUUAUUUGUAAGGACUGAGAUUUUUGACAGUGCAACUAAACUCUCUGUUGAUGAUGUUUAUGUGUGUAAUUUAAUUAUAUAAGCACUCGUCAAGUUUCGGACGAAAAUGAGCUAAAAUGGAGAAGAUACGCGAUUUUUAGUUUUCACUUAAGUGAAUAGUAACUCCGGUUUUCCGGAGAAGCCACGGAGUAGAGUUGGCUUCUGGUGCGUAUCGGACUCCGUUCAUAUCAGUCCAAUAGCUCGUUUCGACCGGUUCAGCUGUUCUGGAACUAAUGGCGCUGAUGGAUUUUGAGUUUGACGCACGGAUUUCGAUAAAAUCCAAAAAUACAUGUUUUAUAUGUAUUUGUGUGUAUGUUUCCUUCUAUUGGAAGAAGGUUGGAUUUUGUUGUGAAUCCGUGGUCGAUCGAGAUGAAUCGAAAGUGUAGCUUUGUUGUCUCCGAGGUGCUGAUCGCACUGGUGCAAUCCGUUCGCAAAUCUGACNAAAAAAUUAUUAUUCAUAUAAAAUUUUAAUUUUAGUUAUAUAUGAUUGGAUAGUUUAAUCCAAUAUUUAUCUAUAUAAUUUAUUUAUUUUUGACUGCAUAAAUGAAAAUGAAUAAUAUAGAGAUUGAAGGCGGAAGAAAAGACAUGUGAAACUGAAAAAAUUAGAAAUUCAACUCAUAAAUUAUUUUUUUUAUAUUAUAAUACUAUAUUUCAUAUAAUUAUUUUAUACUUUGAACUAUUAGACAUAUUUUUGUAUCAAAUUAUAAAUAAUGUUCUAUACAAAUUAAACUAUUGAUCGUAUAAUAUUGAGAAUUUCAAGCAGCUCGUUUAGGGCUUGAGCUCGCUCGACUUGAAAUUAGGCUCGCUCGAGCUCGGCUCGAAUUAAUUUCAAUCCAAGCUUGAUCUUAAAUUUA